CCUACGGGAGGCUGCAGUGAGGAAUAUUGGUCAAUGGGCGCGAGCCUGAACCAGCCAAGUAGCGUGAAGGAUGACUGCCCUACGGGUUGUAAACUUCUUUUAUAAAGGAAUAAAGUGAGGCACGUGUGCCUUUUUGUAUGUACUUUAUGAAUAAGGAUCGGCUCACUCCGUUCCAGCAGCCGCGGUAAUACGGAGGAUCCGAGCGUUAUCCGGAUUUAUUGGGUUUAAAGGGAGCGUAGAUGGGUUGUUAAGUCAGUUGUGAAAGUUUGCGGCUCAACCGUAAAAUUGCAAUUGAUACUGGCGGCCUUGAGUGCAGUUGAGGUAGGCGGAAUUCGUGGUGUAGCGGUGAAAUGCUUAGAUAUCACGAAGAACUCCGAUUGCGAAGGCAGCUUACUAAACUGCCACUGACAUUGAUGCUCGAAAGUGUGGGUAUCAAACAGGAUUAGAUACCCUUGUAGUC
rnacentral:rRNA from 1 species